rnacentral:rRNA from 1 species
UACGGGGGGUGCGAGCGUUGUCCGGAAUCACUGGGCGUAAAGAGCGUGUAGGCGGCUCGGUAAGUCCGCUGUGAAAGUCCAGGGCUCAACCCUGGAAUGCCAGUGGAAACUGUCGAGCUAGAGUCCGGAAGAGGCGAGUGGAAUUCCUGGUGUAGCGGUGAAAUGCGCAGAUAUCAGGAGGAACACCAAUGGCGAAGGCAGCUCGCUGGGACGGUACUGACGCUGAGACGCGAAAGCGUGGGGAGCAAACAGG